rnacentral:rRNA from 1 species
AAAUUGAAGAGUUUGAUCAUGGCUCAGAUUGAACGCUGGCGGCAGGCCUAACACAUGCAAGUCGAACGGUAACAGGAAGCAGCUUGCUGCUUUGCUGACGAGUGGCGGACGGGUGAGUAAUGUCUGGGAAACUGCCUGAUGGAGGGGGAUAACUACUGGAAACGGUGGCUAAUACCGCAUAAUGUCGCAAGACCAAAGAGGGGGACCUUCGGGCCUCUUGCCAUCAGAUGUGCCCAGAUGGGAUUAGCUUGUUGGUGAGGUAACGGCUCACCAAGGCGACGAUCCCUAGCUGGUCUGAGAGGAUGACCAGCCACACUGGAACUGAGACACGGUCCAGACUCCUACGGGAGGCAGCAGUGGGGAAUAUUGCACAAUGGGCGCAAGCCUGAUGCAGCCAUGCCGCGUGUAUGAAGAAGGCCUUCGGGUUGUAAAGUACUUUCAGCGGGGAGGAAGGUGUUGUGGUUAAUAACCGCAGCAAUUGACGUUACCCGCAGAAGAAGCACCGGCUAACUCCGUGCCAGCAGCCGCGGUAAUACGGAGGGUGCAAGCGUUAAUCGGAAUUACUGGGCGUAAAGCGCACGCAGGCGGUCUGUCAAGUCGGAUGUGAAAUCCCCGGGCUCAACCUGGGAACUGCAUUCGAAACUGGCAGGCUUGAGUCUUGUAGAGGGGGUAGAAUUCCAGGUGUAGCGGUGAAAUGCGUAGAGAUCUGGAGGAAUACCGGUGGCGAAGGCGGCCCCCUGGACAAAGACUGACGCUCAGGUGCGAAAGCGUGGGGAGCAAACAGGAUUAGAUACCCUGGUAGUCCACGCCGUAAACGAUGUCUACUUGGAGGUUGUGCCCUUGAGGCGUGGCUUCCGGAGCUAACGCGUUAAGUAGACCGCCUGGGGAGUACGGCCGCAAGGUUAAAACUCAAAUGAAUUGACGGGGGCCCGCACAAGCGGUGGAGCAUGUGGUUUAAUUCGAUGCAACGCGAAGAACCUUACCUGGUCUUGACAUCCACGGAACUUUCCAGAGAUGGAUUGGUGCCUUCGGGAACCGUGAGACAGGUGCUGCAUGGCUGUCGUCAGCUCGUGUUGUGAAAUGUUGGGUUAAGUCCCGCAACGAGCGCAACCCUUAUCCUUUGUUGCCAGCGGUCCGGCCGGGAACUCAAAGGAGACUGCCAGUGAUAAACUGGAGGAAGGUGGGGAUGACGUCAAGUCAUCAUGGCCCUUACGACCAGGGCUACACACGUGCUACAAUGGCGCAUACAAAGAGAAGCGACCUCGCGAGAGCAAGCGGACCUCAUAAAGUGCGUCGUAGUCCGGAUUGGAGUCUGCAACUCGACUCCAUGAAGUCGGAAUCGCUAGUAAUCGUGGAUCAGAAUGCCACGGUGAAUACGUUCCCGGGCCUUGUACACACCGCCCGUCACACCAUGGGAGUGGGUUGCAAAAGAAGUAGGUAGCUUAACCUUCGGGAGGGCGCUUACCACUUUGUGAUUCAUGACUGGGGUGAAGUCGUAACAAGGUAACCGUAGGGGAACCUGCGGUUGGAUCACCUCCUUA